rnacentral:rRNA from 1 species
UACGUAGGGUGCAAGCGUUUAAUCGGAAUUACUGGGCGUAAAGCGUGCGCAGGCGGUUGUGCAAGACCGAUGUGAAAUCCCCGGGCUUAACCUGGGAAGUGGCAUUGGUGACUGUACGGCUAAGAGUGUGUCAGAGGGGGUAGGAAUUCCACGUGGUAGCAGUGAAAUGCGUAGAGAUGUGGAGGAAUACCGAUGGCGAAGGCAGCCCCUGGGACGUAACACUGACGCCUGCAUGCACGAAAGCGUGGGGAGCAAACAGG